rfam:Phoenicopterus ruber ruber contig11031, whole genome shotgun sequence.
AAAACGGUUUUUUUAAAAACCAAAUACUUGAUUUUUAAAAAUUUACU